rnacentral:misc_RNA from 1 species
CGGCUUCAUCUUUGUUCUCUUUUUCUCGUUGGGCGCGUACGUGAUCGCUCCCUCUCCCUCCGGCCCAUCACUGGUGCUGCUCGCAACGACGCCUUGCAGAGCUGAUAAAGGAACUGUUUGGUUCAUGAGUGCCGCGGUGCGUAGUGGGCUUCACUCCUUGUCAUCCUUACCUGUUCUGCGCUCUAUCCCCGGGCUCUUUUCCUUUUCGUGUGCCGAGGAGUUCAGGCCAGCUCGGUGCCACUCGCCGCUGAGCAGAAGACGCACAACUUGCCGUUGUUGUGUGUGUGUGUGUUUUGUUUGGCUGUGUCGCACAAAAAUGCAACGAUUCUGCUUGAGUGCGCUGCGGCGCUCCUCUGCGGGCGGUGUCGCGCGCCUCGCUGUACCUUUCUCGCACGCGAGCCCCGCGCUUGUGGUGCCGCGUCGAGAGGCUUCGUCGUUAGAGUCACCUGCGACUGGGUCUGCAGAGGCCAGCCGCUCGCCAGCAAAGCCGUCCGCAGCUGGCGCGACACAGGCUGCACCCGAGUUGGACGCAGAGGCGGCAGAGCAGGUGCGGCUCGCGCAGGAGUUGGGCGAGCAGGCUUUCAGUGAGAACACGGAGAUCCUGAAGAAAGUAGCGUUUCGCGGGCUGCGCGCCUUUGUCAUGUGUGCUGUCGGCGUCGCCGCCUUCAUGUGGGCGAUGAAGAAGAAAAAGCGGGAACGCCAGGCGGACGCGCUGCCAGGUGUCGAGGCUCCCCGCGCCGCGCACGCUGAGGGGCAUGACGACCCGACGCAGCGGUACUUGCAGGAGAUGCGCGGGCUCGGCUUUGAUGUGGAGACGCUGGAGGAGGAGCUGGAGUAUGAGCGAGUCGCCAAGGCCGCUGAUUCUCAGAAGCUCGCGGGACGGUUGUAGUAAUGAUGUGACGGAUGUGUGUGGUGCGGUGCACCUUGGGCAGCGGUGAUGAAGUGCGGAGCUCGUCAUCUUCCGACGCUUAGGCGGCGGUGCAAGACAUGAAAACAGGCGCAAAAUGCGCGGUACAAAAGGAGCGGCAUUAGCGACCACCCCCUCCUCCCCGAGAGAAAACGCGGAGGAGGGGGCGGGGGUGGUGAUCGUCGUCGUUGUUACGGGAAGGGCACACCACAAUCUUUGCGGACCUAUCAGGCUUUCUUCGCUUCCCACUGGAUCGCUUGUACGACAUUAUGGUGCUCACUCACACGCGAGUUGGUGCCUCACUUCUCCAUAUCCCGACUCUGCCUCUACUCUGUAUGCCCUCCUUUUUUCUUUCGAUUGGGGUGGGCAUGCCGUUUUGCGCGCAUACAUCUACUUCACGCAACAG